UCCGUAGGUGAACCUGCGGAAGGAUCAGU
rnacentral:rRNA from 3 species